UUGCUCUAGUAUCCCCAUAUUAUAGACUCAAGAUUUGUCUAUCUUAAAAGGAAAAUAAUUUGUGCACCAAUCUAUCUAGAUCAAUUAUCAUUCCUAUGAUGAUCCAUCGUUCGAAAGUAUUUAGGAAUUAAUUACUAAUGACACAUACUUCAAAUUCUCAAUUCUUAAGAAUACAUGUCAUCAUCUUAUGAAUUUCAUGGAUGAUUCAUGGACACAUACACAACAUAAAUGAAAUAAAUAACCCAU
rnacentral:lncRNA from 1 species